rnacentral:rRNA from 1 species
GGGGAAUCUUGCACAAUGGGGGCAACCCUGAUGCAGCGACGCCGCGUGAGCGAUGAAGCCCUUCGGGGCGUAAAGCUCUUUCGACCGGAACGAUAAUGACGGUACCGGGAGAAGAAGCUGCGGCUAACUACGUGCCAGCAGCCGCGGUAAUACGUAGGCAGCAAGCGUUGUUCGGAGUUACUGGGCGUGAAGAGUGCGUAGGCGGUUUUCUAAGUUCGGUGUGAAAUCUCCCGGCGUAACUGGGAGGGUGCGCCGAAGACUGGGAAGCUGGAGUGUGGGAAAGGCAGGCGGAAUUCCUGGUGUAGCGGUGAAAUGCGUAGAUAUCAGGAGGAACACCGGCGGUGUAGACGGCUUGCUAGACCAUGACUGACGCUGAGGCACGAAAGCGUGGGUAGCAAACA